rnacentral:rRNA from 1 species
AUACGGAGGGUGCAAGCGUUAAUCGGAAUUACUGGGCGUAAAGCGCGCGUAGGCGGUUUGUUAAGCGAGAUGUGAAAGCCCCGGGCUCAACCUGGGAACUGCAUUUCGAACUGGCAGGCUAGAGUGUAGAAGAGGGGUGUGGAAUUUCCGGUGUAGCGGUGAAAUGCGUAGAGAUCGGAAGGAACAUCAGUGGCGAAGGCGACACCCUGGUCUAACACUGACGCUGAGGUGCGAAAGCGUGGGUAGCAAACAGGAUUAGAAACCCCGGUAGUCC